rnacentral:rRNA from 1 species
UACAGAGGUGGCAAGCGUUGUUCGGAAUUACUGGGCGUAAAGGGCGCGUAGGCGGCCUUCUAAGUCAGACGUGAAAUCCCCCGGCUUAACCUGGGAACUGCGUCUGAUACUGGAGGGCUUGAGUAUGGGAGAGGGAUGUAGAAUUCCAGGUGUAGCGGUGAAAUGCGUAGAUAUCUGGAGGAAUACCGGUGGCGAAGGCGGCAUCCUGGACCAUUACUGACGCUGAGGCGCGAAAGCGUGGGGAGCAAACAGG